UGGGGAAUUUUGGACAAUGGGCGCAAGCCUGAUCCAGCAAUGCCGCGUGCAGGAUGAAGGCCUUCGGGUUGUAAACUGCUUUUGUACGGAACGAAAAGGUCCUAGUUAAUACCUGGGGCCCAUGACGGUACCGUAAGAAUAAGCACCGGCUAACUACGUGCCAGCAGCCGCGGUAAUACGUAGGGUGCAAGCGUUAAUCGGAAUUACUGGGCGUAAAGCGUGCGCAGGCGGUUAUAUAAGUCAGAUGUGAAAUCCCCGGGCUCAACCUGGGACCUGCAUUUGAGACUGUAUAGCUAGAGUACGGCAGAGGGGGAUGGAAUUCCGCGUGUAGCAGUGAAAUGCGUAGAUAUGCGGAGGAACACCGAUGGCGAAGGCAAUCCCCUGGGCCUGUACUGACGCUCAUGCACGAAAGCGUGGGGAGCAAACAGG
rnacentral:rRNA from 1 species